rnacentral:rRNA from 1 species
UGGGGAAUAUUGCACAAUGGGCGCAAGCCUGAUGCAGCCAUGCCGCGUGUAUGAAGAAGGCCUUCGGGUUGUAAAGUACUUUCAGCGGGGAGGAAGGUGUUGAGGUUAAUAACCUCAGCAAUUGACGUUACCCGCAGAAGAAGCACCGGCUAACUCCGUGCCAGCAGCCGCGGUAAUACGGAGGGUGCAAGCGUUAAUCGGAAUUACCGGGCGUAAAGCGCACGCAGGCGGUCUGUCAAGUCGGAUGUGAAAUCCCCGGGCUCAACCUGUGAACUGCAUUCGAAACUGGCAGGCUAGAGUCUUGUAGAGGGGGGUAGAAUUCCAGGUGUAGCGGUGAAAUGCGUAGAGAUCUGGAGGAAUACCGGUGGCGAAGGCGGCCCCCUGGACAAAGACUGACGCUCAGGUGCGAAAGCGUGGGGAGCAAACA